UGGUUGUAAAAGAUGGAAUUUGCUGUUGA
rnacentral:piRNA from 1 species